UAAAUAAAUAAAUAAAGAAAGGAGGUGGUUUACGGGUAUGAACCCGAACUCGAGGUGCUAGGCACUUCUGCAGGGUCAACCAUGGGAGGAUAUUAAAAUUUAAGUUUUUGUAUAUAUAUAUUGUGAUGAAUUUUAAAAGAAGAAUAUGAUUUUUGGAUAUUAGGUUCUGCAAAAGAUUUACAUAAUUAAUUGGAUUUUUUGUGGAUCACAUUCGCAAGAUAAGUAAUAUAACCUCUUUACUAGAUUUAUCGGCAAACUAUGUAUGUUUUACGAAUCGAAUUAUUUGUGAUUACGAAUUUGAUGCAUGGGUUAUAUGUAUAUUUUUAAAAUAUUGUAUGACUUUGAUUGAACGUAUUUGCUUCUGAUUUGGAUCGUGUUCGAUUGCUCUGACAUUGUACCUUUCGGCUUGAAACACUGAAUAUAAUGUGAGAAAAGAUAAUGACUUGAAAUAGAUUCAGGCUCGCAGACGGGCUAUGUUGAGGACCCUGCCAAUAGGGGCUAAUACAUUGGUACCGCAAGAAAAUUAGUCGGUGAUAUGACCGUGCCACAAGGAACAUGUGGUCAUAGUUUCUGGCUAUUGAGUUGAAUCUGAUAAAUUGAAAGAAAUUAAGAUAUUAACGAUAUUUGGUUUUGACACUGCAUACUUUUAUAACUGAAAUAUGAAAUAGAGAACUAAUUGAACUUCGACCUGGCUAUAUUGAGAACCCCGCCAAUGGGGGCAGAUACGUUAGCAAUUGACUGUUCUGAAGGACUCACCGCAAGAAAAUUAGACGGUGUUGAUGACCCUGCCACAGGAAACAUGUGGUCAUAGUCCAGGAUCGACAAGAUGAAUUGAAUAU
rnacentral:lncRNA from 1 species